UACGGAGGGUGCAAGCAUUAAUCGGAAUUAUUGGGCGUAAAGGGCGCGUAGGCGGAAUAGCAAGUCAGAUGUGAAAUUCCGGGGCUCAACCUCGGGACUGCAUUUGAAACUGUUAAUCUGGAGGGUUGGCGGAGAAAAUGGAAUUCCACGUGUAGCGGUGAAAUGCGUAGAUAUGUGGAAGAACACCUGUGGCGAAAGCGGUUUUCUAGCUAACACCUGACGCUGAGGCGCGAGAGCAAGGGGAGCAAACAGG
rnacentral:rRNA from 1 species